rnacentral:snRNA from 1 species
AUCUCUUUUUGGCCUUUUGGCUACGAUUGAGUGUAGUAUCUGUUCUUAUCAGUUUAAAUGAGCCUCUUUAAAUCCAGAUUUCCGUAUAUAUAUAUUUUAGUGUUUGCAUUCCUAAGACGAAUUAAACGCUUU